rnacentral:lncRNA from 1 species
AAGCAAAGGACACUGCUGUCAGCACUGAGGAGACCCUCCAACAAAGAUAAUGAGCACUGAAGACGACCAGAGGUUACUUUCAUCACCAUCUUGGUUUUGGUAGCUGCUUUACUGCAUCCUGUUUUAUCAGCAGGGUCUUUACCACCUCUGCCAGUCCUGUAGACCUUCUGUCUCAUCUUGUGACUAAGAAUGCCUAACCUCCUGGGAAUGCAGCCCGGCAGAUAUCAUCCUCAUUUUACCCAGCAGGUCAUGAUCCUGGCUGCUCCCUGCAGACUGAAAAGGUUGACUUCUAGAUCUAUACGUGACCAGCUUAAUUCUAGAGAGACUGUCUGAAGUACUGCACUGUGUUUAGUUUCCACGUCAUUUAUCACUGACAUCGUCUCAUGCAUGAAAGUGCAAGGAGAUUUAAGGAGCUGGCAUUUUCUCACAAGAUCUCCUUUAGUGGAACGGUGCCUAACAUGCUACUUAACUCACGCUGCCACUGAAACAUAACUCUCCUCUCCCCAGCACUUCUGUCUUCCAUGGAACAGCACAGUCUUCAGCAAGUAGAAAGCUCUACUCAGAACUCUUAGUCCUAUUGUGCUAAAAUGUGCGUCACACGCACAGGGUUAGGUCACAACCUAUCUUCGCACUUCAAAUCCCACGUCUCAAAAACAGCUGGACAGAACCUGGUUUUGUAAGAGCAAGUCACCUGAAUGACCAAGAAAUUCUCAAAUAGCACAAAGAAGACAAAAAGAAAAUACUACUUCUUUGAGUUUGAAGAAGACCGAGUUUAUGUGCCUCAUUAUGGAUUUUUACUUCUUCAAUUUGUUUUCAUUCUUCCAACCCACCACUUUUUUUUUUUACUGUCUAAAAGCAUUAAAAAAAUUUAAACCAGG